rnacentral:rRNA from 1 species
AUUGAACGCUGGCGGCAGGCCUAACACAUGCAAGUCGAACGGUAACAGGAAACAGCUUGCUGUUUCGCUGACGAGUGGCGGACGGGUGAGUAAUGUCUGUGAAACUGCCUGAUGGAGGGGGAUAACUACUGGAAACGGUAGCUAAUACCGCAUAACGUCGCAAGACCAAAGAGGGGGACCUUCGGGCCUCUUGCCAUCGGAUGGGCCCAGAUGGGAAUAGCUAGUAGGUGGGGUAACGGCUCACCUAGGCGACCAUCCCUAGCUGGUCUGAGAGGAUGACCAGCCACACUGGAACUGAGACACGGUCCAGACUCCUAAGGGAGGCAGCAGUGGGGAAUAUUGCACAAUGGGCGCAAGCCUGAUGCAGCCAUGCCGCGUGUAUGAAGAAGGCCUUCGGGUUGUAAAGUACUUUCAGCGGGGAGGAAGGGAGUAAAGUCAAUACCUUUGCUCAUUGACGUUACCCGCAGAAGAAGCACCGGCUAACUCCGUGCCAGCCGCCGCAGUAA